AUUCGAAGCAACGCGCAGAACCUUACCAGCCCUUGACAUUUGGUGCUUUAUCCAGAGAUGGAUUUUUCCCUUCGGGGACGCCAGGACAGGUGCUGCAUGGCUGUCGUCAGCUCGUGUCGUGAGAUGUUGGGUUAAGUCCCGCAACGAGCGCAACCCUCGCCCUUAGUUGCCAGCAUUCAGUUGGGCACUCUAGGGGGACUGCCGGUGAUAAGCCGAGAGGAAGGUGGGGAUGACGUCAAGUCCUCAUGGCCCUUACGGGCUGGGCUACACACGUGCUACAAUGGCGGUGACAGUGGGCAGCGAACUCGCGAGAGGGAGCUAAUCUCCAAAAGCCGUCUCAGUUCGGAUUGUUCUCUGCAACUCGAGAGCAUGAAGUUGGAAUCGCUAGUAAUCGCGUAACAGCAUGACGCGGUGAAUACGUUCCCGGGCCUUGUACACACCGCCCGUCACACCAUGGGAGUUGGGUUUACCCGAAGGCAGUGCGCUAACCGUAA
rnacentral:rRNA from 1 species